AAACAAAAAUUAAAAGUUUAAAAGAACAACAAUAGACACAUCUUACCUGAUUUAUUUUAAUUACAUAUUAUUUGUCAAUAAAUGUACACAGCACAAAAUAGAAAAAAUACAAAAGCGUAUUCUGUGAAGUCUCCCUCCCAUCCCUUUGUCAUCCAGCCCCUCUUCAGGGGUAUCCUGAGUAUCACCUUGAGAUGAUAAUCAAAGCCUACACACAUAUGUAAAUAUAUAUGUACACAGGUAGCAGGCAGCAUAAUAGAGUUCUGUGUCUUAUUUUCACUUAAAUGUAUCUUCCUGUCAGAUUGUUUGCUGUAUAAAACAAGCAACAAUGUAGUUAAAAACAACAACAAAAAAGGAACAAACUGAGUAUUAAUUCAAAUUUUAAAACUUAUUUUAUAAAAAAGAAUAACAAUAAAAAAGUUCUUAAGCUAUAAUGAGUAGAUACUCUAGCAAUUAGAUAAAUAUGAAGAAUAAGGGCAUUAUGCAUUAGUUUUAUUAUUUUGGCAAAACAAUAUGACUACAUUGAAGAUCUACAGAAUUAUUUAGAAUAUGAAGCCCAAUACACAAAAUUAAUCAUCAAUACAGAAAAAUAAUUCUAUGGGACUAUGUUAAACAAAAAAGCCAAAAACAGAUUACUGCCAUCUAGAAAUAUGUAUCAUAAUAACCCAAAAUGUAACAUAUUAAUCUUACAUACUUGAGAAUUAUAGAAUGACAUAACCAUCAAAA